UUUCUGUUGUGGCGCACGGGUGAGUAACGCGUGGGUACCUGCCCCAUAGCUCGGGAUAACUUCGCUAAAGCGUUGCUAAUACCGGAUACCGUCCCUUUUGCUUCGGCUCAAGGGAUGAAAGGUGACCUCUUCAUGAAAGUUGCCGUUAAGGGAUGGGCCCGCGUACCAUUAGCUUGUUGGUGGGGUAAUGGCCUACCAAGGCGACGAUGGUUAGCUGGUCUGAGAGGAUGAUCAGCCACACUGGAACUGGAACACGGUCCAGACUCCUACGGGAGGCAGCAGUGAGGAAUUUUGCGCAAUGGGGGAAACCCUGACGCAGCAACGCCGCGUGAGUGAAGAAGGCCUUCGGGUCGUAAAGCUCUGUCAAGCGGGAAAAAAACUUGACAAUAAAUAGUUGUCAAGCUUGAUGGUACCGCUAGAGGAAGCACCGGCUAACUCCGUGCCAGCAGCCGCGGUAAUACGGAGGGUGCAAGCGUUGUUCGGAAUUACUGGGCGUAAAGGGCGUGCAGGCGGUUUGGUAGGUCAGAUGUGAAAGCCCUGGGCUCAACCCAGGAAGUGCAUUUGAAACUGCCUUACUUGAGUAUGGGAGAGGAGAGUGGAAUUCCCAGUGUAGAGGUGAAAUUCGUAGAUAUUGGGAGGAACACCCGUGGCGAAGGCGGCUCUCUGGACCAAUACUGACGCUGAUACGCGAAAGCGUGGGGAGCAAACAGGAUUAGAUACCCUGGUAGUCCACGCUGUAAACGAUGAGAACUAGGUGUAGCGGGUAUUGACCCCUGCUGUGCCGCAGCUAACGCAUUAAGUUCUCCGCCUGGGGAGUACGACCGCAAGGUUAAAACUCAAAGGAAUUGCCGGGGGCCCGCACAAGCGGUGGAGCAUGUGGUUUAAUUCGACGCAACGCGAAGAACCUUACCUGGGUUUGACAUCCUCUGACCGCCCCGGAAACGGGGUUUUCCCGACUUUGUCGGGACAGAGUGACAGGUGCUGCAUGGCUGUCGUCAGCUCGUGUCGUGAGAUGUUGGGUUAAGUCCCGCAACGAGCGCAACCCUUGUUUCUAGUUGCCAGUAUUAAGUUAGGCACUCUAGAGAGACUGCCUCGGUUAACGAGGAGGAAGGUGGGGAUGACGUCAAGUCCUCAUGGCCUUUAUACCCAGGGCUACACACGUGCUACAAUGGGCUGUACAAAGGGUUGCCAAUCCGCGAGGAUGCGCUAAUCCCAAAAAGCAGUUCUCAGUUCGGAUUGGAGUCUGCAACUCGACUCCAUGAAGUUGGAAUCGCUAGUAAUCGUGGAUCAGCAUGCCACGGUGAAUACGUUCCCGGGCCUUGUACACACCGCCCGUCACACCACGAAAGUCGAUUGUACCAGAAGUUGCUGGGCUAACUCACCUCGGUGGGAGGCAGGUACCUAAGGUACGGUUGGUAAUUGGGGUGAAGUCGUAACAAGGUA
rnacentral:rRNA from 1 species